AUUUGGUCAGGUUCGAGCAUGCCGAUAGAGCGCCGAACGGACAGAGUCUCCCCUGUACGUCCUAGGCAUCGCAAUCAAUAUAAGUACAAGAAGUUCCAACCAGGAACAGUAUUCAAGCAAGAUUGCAUAAGCAAGGUAUCAAACAACAUAACACAUCCUAUAUUAUUACAAGCAUUCCCAUUAGAUUCAAUUUUACAUCACAUUAGCAUUAUUACAUUACAUUUUCUUCCAAAUACAAUUAAUGAUCGCAAUAUUAUUACAAGUUAGCUCUUUUUUUCUUUCCCCUCUACCCC
rnacentral:lncRNA from 1 species